UUUCCACUCUCCUGCUCCCCACGGUUAGUCCCUUUGGACGUCCGUGACAAUAUGUACUGUAUGUUGGCAGCACAGUAGAGAAUUUGGUAGUAAAUUAAAUUAAUAUUCAUCCACUGUUCAUUUUUUUCUUUCCCUGUUUAAGGUACCCGAGGAUCCUGGUGUUUGUGAUCCAAGCCAAUGUGUGGCUCCCUAACUUGCUUCACUUUCAGCUUGAUGGCAUCAACAGUUCUGAUACAGUAGGGACCUACCUCAGCACCCCCCUGUACCUGAGUCACCUCUUUACUAUUUUUAGAGUUACACCCUGGACAUUCAAUAGUUCCCUGUCCCUGGCAUCCAACAGCCCCCUUGUGAAAUUCUCUCCACAACCUAGUAGAAACAGAUCAAGCUAAGGUUUCAAGGUCGAGGUUAGACAUGGCUGCCAGUAGUUUCACACUCACAGCCCUGUAGAGGAAUUCAAAGGGGCAGGCACUGCAGGAGACCCUCUUAUGGCUACAAUCAGCUUAGUCAGCAGGAUAGCUAACCAGAAAGAGCUUUUCCUCCAGCCAUCCUCGACUGCAAGACACACUGAAUCACAGACUGCAUUGGGCAUUAUCUCUACAGCGCUGACGUUUCAUAUAAGAUAAGUCACCAACAAAUCAUGUAUCAGCUAGGUUUUUGUUCAAGGGCUAGGCCUGGCCAUCCAGCUUCCACCCCCUGUGACACAAUCCCUGAGGAAGCCCAGAGGGCAAUGAGGCAGAGGAGUGGACAAACUGUAGGUUAAGGGUCAGGUCAAUGGGAGAAACACUGAAAUCAGGAGUGCAAAAUCCUAUAAAGUGAAAGGAGACCUGAUAGACUCCAGGCAUACAAAGGUUAAGAGAGCCAUUUAUCAGCACCAGCAGGAGGGAGAAGAGUUAUCUUCAUUUGACAUGGCACAUCAACUGGUACUUUCAUGCAAAGGAAUUGGAGGCACUCCAAAAUGGAGUAAUUUCCCAGAACUCUUCCUUGUGUCCACACGGAGAGAACAUCCACCAGUAAGGCAGGAAUGCUGAGUGGUUCUGCCUUUAGAACCACUAGUUUAUCGCCAGGUACAGAGUAGGAGAUCAAGGCCCUCAGGACAGAAACUCCUGGUCUUUUUCAUGUUAGUAACCUAGCAACCAGUUUUGGGGAGGACUACACUCAAGUGGCCCAUCAUGUGAACUGCUAGUUCAAAGACCGUGGAGCCUGGGAGAUAGAAAUAGAGGACCAGGGGGCAGAAUUUGAUUAAUAAAUUCACAAGUUCCAAGCAAAGAAUGUCUCCUUUCUCGAGUACCCCCCCCCCAGCCCAGCAUCACCAUAACUGACAUCCUGGUAGAAGUUCCUGGCCAGACACUUUAGCCCAGGUUUUUGCCUGUUGGAGCUUGGUCAGACAGAUGGGUGAGUCUUUUCUGCAUUUUUGAUUUUAAUAUAUGGGACAUGUUGUGCAAUGGAAAAUAGAAACGCAGUACAGAAAAAAGAGGAGCUAUAUUUUAUCUCAUCUGAGAAAGGUAAAUUUAAAUUCCAAGGGAUUUAUAAUAAUCUUUUCCCUAUUUCAAUUUAAGCCACUUUAAGUCUGCCAUUUGAUUCCUGUGAACAAUCUGUUGGUAGAGGUGGCUGAGAUUAGCUCACGUUAUUAAUGAUUUCACUGUGUGGCAGAACUUGGCUAUGAAUACAGUGUGCUUGCAUUUAUUCAUAUCCGGCAAUGCAUUUUGAAUGCAUGGGACAAUGGUCCUCAACACAGACGUCCGAUUCCUCAGCAGCCCUGGUUUUAGUUUUAUUAAUGGAAAGAACAGAUGUCAGAAAUUUAAGCCAUCAGGCUUCGGAUAUAUCUGGAAUGAAAUGUCCCAGUAAAUCAUUUCUGUGCUGUAGCCGUCUGGACAUCAGCCAAGAAGCAACUAGUUAAUGACCUCUGGAUUUAAACAGUGAAAUCUGUUACUGUGAUCGCUUCAGAUCAGAUUUAGCAAGAGCAUGCUUGCUUGAGUUCCAUGCUUCUGGAGGUUUAAUUAACAAACCUGAACAUGUAUACAUGUAGAAUAGUACUAGAAACAAAGACUGGGCAAGAAACAGUGUGUGUCUGGCUCUGGUAUAAUGCCCCACGGCUUUAACAAAAAAAAAAGUCAUUUGUAAAUCUUUCUGAAUAAUUUAAGCUCCAUGUAAAGAGAAUGCACUCUAGGCAGACACGAUUUAACAAACCCCAAGGGUUUCUUGUGGUUAUGAAGAAUUUUAAGAACUCGAUUUAACAAUGAGUGCAAGACCAGAGAUUUGUUUUCUGAUAAGAAUAAAAGUUAUUUUUUUAAUGAGAUACACUAUGUAAUGAAAUACACCACACACAGUAGCGUUCAGGACAUAACUUUGGUCUAAGUGCAAGGAAUAUUCCCAGCUGGCCAAUGACCUCUAAUAUAGAGUGAAGAUUAUAACCACGUCCCUUUAUGAAUAUUUUCUUUCGAGUCCUUUUCUGUUGGCUGCUUUCGGAACAGAGCCCAGUGCGGUGGUUAAAAUAAUUCUUUUCACAUAGUUUUUAGUCUUUUUCAGGCCGCUGAUCCUACCACAUUUAAUUAAUUAUGGCAGAAAGCCCAGCUAAGAUACAUAUUGCCAGGUUGGUAGUAAGCUAUGUAGUCUGUUGUUCAAGCUGUGUGCGUUGUAUUGUGCUUUUCAGUGCAGUUGCCAAGGCUGUGGUCUUUCCAUUACAAACUGACAGUUUCUUCAUGAUCCUAAUACUUCUUCCAGGAGCACAAAUUGGCACAAUUUCUAAUAUUGACCCUUUUUUAUCUUCUCCUUCUCUGCUUUUCUGCCCUGAGCAAAACAAAAAUUCCAUCUUCGCUCACAUUUGCUUGUUCACAGCCUGGGGGGGGGUAGUAACAGCAGCCUUCUCUGCCUCGUCAGGUGGCAUGGAAGGGACAGGCCAGAGGACAGAGCGCUGGUCAGCCCCCGGGAUCACCAAGGUAACAGUUGGCAUUGAGGCGCUGAACGGCCAUCUCAUUCAACACCCAGAAUGCCAAGCUGCGGCAUUACAGGUGUCAGCUGUCGAUAUGGUGCUGAAGUGCAGUUCGAACUACCAGUAGCCAGGCUACUUCCAAUAGCUCAGGCUGGGGAAUGAUAUCCAUCAGUUUAAAUCUAUCUCUAUCUGUGAGUGCUCCCUCGAUUGUGUGCUGGACAAACCUGCUCAAUAACCCACGGGGCCCUGGGCAACCAUGAGUGCCGCCUGCUGUGGCCCAGCUUGGCUUUCCAGUGUGUGCUGUCGCUAGGCACCAGUCACUACGACAACGGCAAGAGGAGCCCAGCAACGCCCACCAGCCUGCAAGCCAAAAUCUGCAACCUCAUCAGCAGCGCCACUGACACAGAAGGGGUGUACGUCUUCCUGGAUGACCUCCUUUUGACAGAUGUGUGUAUGUUUGCACUGGACAAGAUCUGAGCUGAUGCCCAGUGCUAUCUGGACAGAAACCGAGUCAAACUUGUGUGACUUUGUAGGGUGCUAUGAGCUGAGCACAUGGCCCUCUGCUGGGCAGGGGACUGGCUGGAGCAGAAAGUCCUCAGCUCCACCUUCACCUGGACUGGAGCAGAAAGCCCUCAGCUCCACCAUCACCUGGACUGGAGCAGAAAGCCCUCAGCUCCACCUUCACCUGGACUGGAGCAAAAAGCCCUAGAGCUCCACCAUCACCUGGACUUGAACAGAAAGUCCUCAGCUUCACCUUCACCUGGACUGGAGCAGAAAGCCCUGGAGCUCCACCAUCGCCUGGACUGGAGCAGAAAGUCCUCAGCUUCACCUUCACCUGUACUGGAGCAGAAAGCUCUGGAGCUCCACCAUCACCUGUACUGGAGCAGAAAGCCUGGGAUCUGACACUGACAGAUCUACAACAACCACAACAGGGCUAAAGGACAGAAAACAUCUUUCUUUAGAUUUACUGUCCAAAAUAUUAGGAGACCCAGAACGGAUUGAGGGAUGGCCCUCUCAGAACUCAAAGAAUGGCUUGAAGGGGGCGUGGCGGGUGGUCCUCAAGGUUAGGAAAUAUUUGCAUCCCAAUUGCACCCCACCUUUGGGGCAGGAAAGUCCUUGGUAGAGAUUGUGAUGAAGUCCAUGGCACUGCACUGCCCACUCUGCUAGCUUUGGUGGUGGUCAAAAGGAAUGACAUCGGGGCGUUGUCAUGAUUAAGAAAGGUGAAAGAAAUUACCUGCCACUGGUUUCUUGAAUUGAUUUGGGGUUCCUGACAGUUUAGCCAAUGUGUAUGUGUCACAGAGACAUUGAUAAGGAAUUAAAAGGCUGCCAAGGGAGCAGCAGCUGCACAACAAGUGCCUUCCUUUUUCUUAACCUUCUUUAAAUCAGGUGGAACGACGGAGAUGUGAACUGCAGAUUGGAAAUUUGUUUCCAAACCAGAAACAUUUGCUUACCUAUUUUUUUAUGCCGAUACUUUUAUCCAAAGCAACUUACAUUUACUACCAUUUACAGAACAGAGUGUUUAGCUGGAAAAAUUUGGGAACGGCGCCUUGCUCGGGGGUACAACAGCAGUGUCGCCCCACAGCCUUCCAGUAACAAGUGCAGAACCCUGACCACUGCCCCCACUGCUGCUUUAACACAAAGGAAGGUGGUGAAGAGAGAGGGAAAGGGAUUUGAUGAUGAUAUUAUAUGUGUAUAAUAUUCUUAACAUGCCACACAAUACCAUACUGAAAUGGGCAAUUUUAAUAACGAGAAAUUUCCCUUGCUGAACCCGGGAGGUUAGGCAGACAUGUGAAAAUAUAUUCCAAUGGUGCCUUACACAUUGUUGCUCUCUGUAUGCUGUGUUCGGCAGUUAAAUACAUAAGGUAACACAUGAGAAGAUGCUGUCUGGGUCAUCUUGCUUGUUCAGUGGAUUGAUUCUAGGAUCUUAUCAAGCAAUUUUUCAAAGUAUCCUGUGUUUUCAUCUUUAACACUGCAGGAUAAUCAGGAACUUGGCUAGGUAUGGGGUUUGACUACAACUAUAGGACAUCGCUAUCUCUCUUUGUAAAUCUGUACUUUCCCAACCUGCUAAAUUCUUGACAAUGUUGCUUUGCAUAUUUAUUUCUGAGUUCCUUUGGAUGCUGCGGCAUUGCAGAAUAGCUGUAGACAAAUACGAUGACGGUCACCUGCUGUCACGCUGUCUGACGAACACGGUCAGGAACACAGCGACAGCGACUGCCGUCCAUGGCAGGAGAUAGGAAUGAGUGAGCCCAGAUCCUGGAGGAGAAGAAAUGAUGUUGUGCCACUGACAGCAGCUCAGCAGGGGAGGUGUCUGGAAAUCCAAGUAUGGAAGAGAAAAUAAAGUUUUUCCUUUAGAUUAUCCAUCAUUUAUUCUUAUAUUACAUAUUUUUAUUG